CGCUGGAAGGGGCGGGGUCAAUCUAAGUUUACAGCCAAAUGGCUUCCCCUGGCUAACCAGGCCCCUACAGUCACCAUUUUGGAAACCAUCUGUCACAGUUUCAGGUGACCUCAAGUGAACUGAGGGAAUUGAGGCAUCAAAAAUAUCUGCUAUAACCUUGUAUUGCUGUCCCCAUGUUACAGAUGGCGAAAGUGAGACCUAGAAAACUUAAGUGAGAUAUCUGAAGAUGUAGAACUAAGUCCACUGUUAUUUCUCCUGGGCCCAGAUGUCUGGAAGGAUUGAGUUCAGCCUCCAUAUAAAAGAGAAGAAGAUACUGAGUUGAAUGCAUGCAAAUUGUCAACUACUUUUAUUCUCUGCUAGAAAUAAUUCUCAUGAGUUUGACAGAAAGAAGGUUGUUGAAAGAAAGAAAGAAAGAAAGA